rnacentral:piRNA from 1 species
AUGGGCUGGAGAGAUGGCUCAGAGGUUAAG